CACUUAUGAGUGAGAUCAGAUGCUAUUUGUCUUUCUGUGACUGACCUAUUUCACUUAGCAUAAUACAGUCUAGAUCCAACCAUGUUGUUGCAAGUCGCAAGUUUUUUUUUUUAUGGCUGAGUCACCUUCCACCGUAUGUAUACGCCCGUGUGAAUGUUUUUAAAAAUAAAAACAAUCACAGCCUAAAGAGAAGGUCGUACCCUGCAGUGAGAUGUUUUCUGCAGGCUCUAUUAACAAAGAAGAACUCAGUUUCCAAAAUGCUAAUGAAGACAAGGGCAUAGUGCCCAGAUUCGCCCCCUCCCAGCAUCACUGGGAAGCUGACUGCAGUUGAAUUUUUUGCUUUAGCCUCCCUAGAAGCGAGAAUCAGGAGUUCACUCAUUGGUUCGACCAGAGUUGACUCAGUGACUGCCGUGCACCGGCCACCCUGGCUCUUGAGGAUGGAAUGGAGGUGAAGUCUGAGCAAAGGCCUGAGGAAGAGUGCACGGAUCUGUGGAAAGAACUUUCCAAGCAGAGGCAACAUCCAAUGCAAAGGAUAGGGGCAGCAAGGCCCGUAUGAAUGAGCGAGGGAAAGAACACUGCGCAAGGCCUGAGAGAUGACCCAGAGCAUCCUGAAAUCAUCACAUGAGAUGUCAGAGGCAGAGCCACCAGCGCAAAGGGACAAACUGGUGGUCUCGGUACACCUCCCUUCCUUCCACUUCCGCUCUUCCUGAACCAGAAACAUCACGCCGGACUAUUCACUAGGCUCCGACAGAAGAUUCUGGUUAGAGACAAGGCAGUGUCACGGAAGGCCAGGUCACGAGGUGGAAAGGACACUAGUACUCAGGAGAUCCAGGUCUGAGUUCUACUUCCGUUACUUACUGGUAGGGUUGGAACCAAGUCGCUUCAUUGAAACUCGGUUUCCUCAUCGGCGAGAGGGGGCUAGUGAAGCCUGCCACGGCUAUAUAAAAGUGUGGUGCAACUCAUGUGAGGUAAUAAGUGUGAAAGCAUUUUGUAACAGCAAAGUGUUUCUAUCAUUGCAGAAAGCCCAGUUAGACAAUGCUGCACAGACCACAGCAUGGACAUUACCUGGGAGCUUGUUAGAAAUACAGAGUAUCAGGAUGCAUGCUUAGACCUUUUGAGUAAGAGCCAACGUUUUAACAAGUUCUCUGGGUGACCAGUGUGUGUCAGCGUUUGGACAACAGUGCUUUACAUAUAAAGGGCCGUCAGUAUUACAACAACGAUAAAAACGACUCUACGGGUCCAGGACCAUGAUGGCUCCAUCCUGACUCGUCACCAGAACUGGGCCCAAUGACGACUAGCAGACGCAUUCAGAUCUUUUCCGCCAACCACCCCACCCAAGCAAAAAUCCCGGACAACACACCCGUGCGGUUGGGUCUCGGAUUCUCAGCUGGAAACAGGAUCUUUGCUCCCCCCUUCUGUUCGUCUGCUCUCCCU